UUUCUACUGCAAUGGACGAAAGUCUGACAGAGCAACGCGGCGUGAGAGAAGAAGGUCUUCGGAUAGUAAAACUCUGUUGUCAGGGAAGAACACCCGGGAGAGGAUCCCGGCUUGACGGUACCUGACGAGAAAGCCCCGGCUAACUACGUGCCAGCAGCCGCGGUAAUACGUAGGGGGCGAGCGUUGUCCGGAAUCAUUGGGCGUAAAGCGCGCGCAGGCGGUUUCUUAAGUCUGAUGUGAAAGCCCCCGGCUCAACCGUGGAGGGCCAUUGGAAACUGGGAGGCUUGAGUGCAGGAGAGGAGAGUGGAAUUCCUGGUGUAGCGGUGAAAUGCGUAGAGAUCAGGAGGAACACCGAUGGCGAAGGCAGCUCUCUGGCCUGUAACUGACGCUGAGGCGCGAAAGCGUGGGGAGCAAACAGGAUUAGAUACCCUGGUAGUCCACGCCGUAAACGAUGAGUGCUAGGUGUUAGGGGUUUACACACCCUCAGUGCCGAAGUCUAACACAUUAAGCACUCCGCCUGGGAG
rnacentral:rRNA from 1 species